AACAUACAAACAGAAAGCUACAUUCUCUCCUUCCACCACCUUACAGUGUCCAAUUUCUUUUAGCUUGGAUCUCCUACAAAGAAUGUAGUCCACCUGUGUGCACCUUCCUCCACUCUUAUAUGUCACCCUGUGCUCCUCCUUUUUCCUAAAGUAGCUCUUCACCACAGCCAUUUCCAUCCUUUUUGCAAAAUCAACUCCUAUCUGUCCUUCCACAUUCCUGACCUUGAUACCAUAUGUAGUCAUUACUUCCACAUCACCUCUCUUCCCUUCACCAACAUGCCCAUUGAAGUCCGCUCCUAUCACCACUCUUUCAUGCUUGGACACACUCUCAACUACCUCAGCUAACUCACUCCAG